CGUAGGGUGCGAGCGUUAAUCGGAAUUACUGGGCGUAAAGCGUGCGCAGGCGGUUUUGUAAGACAGGCGUGAAAUCCCCGGGCUCAACCUGGGAACUGCGCUUGUGACUGCAAGGCUAGAGUACGGCAGAGGGGGUGGAAUUCCACGUGUAGCAGUGAAAUGCGUAGAGAUGUGGAGGAACACCAAUGGCGAAGGCAGCCCCCUGGGUCGAUACUGACGCUCAUGCACGAAAGCGUGGGUAGCAAACAGGAUUAGAUACCCUGGUAGUCCACGCCCUAAACGAUGUCAACUAGGUGUUGGGUGGGUAAAACCAUUUAGUACCGGAGCUAACGCGUGAAGUUGACCGCCUGGGGAGUACGGCCGACAAGGUU
rnacentral:rRNA from 1 species